UACAGAGGUCCCAAGCGUUGUUCGGAUUCAUUGGGCGUAAAGGGCGCGUAGGCGGCUAGGUAAGUCAGGUGUGAAAUCUCGGAGCUCAACUCCGAAACUGCACUUGAUACUGCUUAGCUAGAGGACUGGAGAGGAGAUUGGAAUUCACGGUGUAGCAGUGAAAUGCGUAGAUAUCGUGAGGAAGACCAGUGGCGAAAGCGAAUCUCUGGACAGUCCCUGACGCUCAGGCGCGAAGGCUAGGGGAGCAAACGGG
rnacentral:rRNA from 1 species